rnacentral:rRNA from 1 species
GAUGAACGCUGGCGGCGUGCCUAAUACAUGCAAGUCGAGCGAACAGACGAGGAGCUUGCUCCUCUGACGUUAGCGGCGGACGGGUGCGUAACACGUGGAUAACCUACCUAUAAGACUGGGAUAACGUCGGGAAACCGGAGCUAAUACCGGAUAAUAUAGUGAACCGCAUGGUUCAAUAGUGAAAGACGGUUUUGCUGUCACUUAUAGAUGGAUCCGCGCCGCAUUAGCUAGUUGGUAAGGUAACGGCUUACCAAGGCAACGAUGCGUAGCCGCCCUGAGAGGGUGAUCGGCCACACUGGAACUGAGACACGGUCCAGACUCCUACGGGGGGCAGCAGUAGGGAAUCUUCCGCAAUGGGCGAAAGCCUGACGGAGCAACGCCGCGUGAGUGAUGAAGGUCUUCGGAUCGUAAAACUCUGUUAUUAGGGAAGAACAAAUGUGUAAGUAACUAUGCACGUCUUGACGGUACCUAAUCAGAAAGCCACGGCUAACUACGUG